CAACAGCCCACUAAUGUUCUACAGAUGAAGAAGUCAUAUCUACACGUUCCUGAAUCUCUGCCCCAAGCUGAAACAAAACAAUAAGUUUGAGAGCCGAGCUGUGGAAGGUACUGACACCUGAGCAGACCACAUCCCCUGAUGGCUGAGCUGAGAGUGCUGAGAGACAUGAUGGUGGAGCAGAGAGUGGAGCUGAGGAACGUGGAGGCCAGACUGAGGGACAGCGAGGACAAGCGUUUGAGACCAGAGAGACAGACGGUGAGGGAAAGGUUGACCAGCAGAAAGAAGAGAUGAUGGCUCUGCUAGUGGAACUGGAAAGAAAGAAUGCAGAUGAAAACGAGCCUAGGGCAAAACAUUUUCAGGCAAGAGAAAACAUGCAAGGAGAUUUUAAGAAUUAUCGUGUCUCAUUUCAGCCUUGGAUGCCAGACUGACAGCCAGUGAGGCUUUGGAGGUCAGACUGAGCGUCAGUGAGAGCCAGGUGGAGGAGCCGAAGACAGAAUGCAGCAGCUAAGUUGGUGUUCUCUGCUGGUUUGGGUUCAGGAGACGUUGGACCCUACAAUGGCGAAUUCCCAUUGAAGUUCAGCAGAGUCCUCAUCAAUAUCGGCAAGGCUUAAAACCCUUUUGCAGGCACAGUUCUAGUUACAGCUGUCUUGGUAUCCAGUCUACCAGGGUCGGGAGUCCGUUCCAAUUCAAUUUAGUCCAUUUGGAAAGUAAAUAGAAAUUCCAAUUCAGUUUACUUCCUGAAUUUACUGAAUUGAAAUGGAAUUUACCCCAACCCUGUGGUCUAGACAGGAUGUCACAUAUCCCUUGGUUACUCGGAAGAAAGACAACAUUGAUAUCUCUUACUGUUUCUCCUGUGCAGGUGCGUUCACAGCACCAGUGCGAGGCGUCUACUACUUCAGAUUCACUGUCAAGGAUGACAGUGACAACGUUUACUAUGGAGCACGCCUGCUAAAGAACGGCAAUUAAGCAAUAAGGCAAGAGGGGUUGUGGUAUAUGGCCAAUAUAUGACGCAAC